rnacentral:rRNA from 1 species
AGCGAACGCUGGCGGCAGGCCUAACACAUGCAAGUCGAACGAAGUCUUCGGACUUAGUGGCGGACGGGUGAGUAACACGUGGGAACGUGCCUUUAGGUUCGGAAUAACUCAGGGAAACUUGUGCUAAUACCGAAUGUGCCCUUCGGGGGAAAGAUUUAUUGCCUUUAGAGCGGCCCGCGUCUGAUUAGCUAGUUGGUGAGGUAAAGGCUCACCAAGGCUACGAUCAGUAGCUGGUCUGAGAGGAUGACCAGCCACAUUGGGACUGAGACACGGCCCAAACUCCUACGGGAGGCAGCAGUGGGGAAUCUUGCGCAAUGGGCGAAAGCCUGACGCAGCCAUGCCGCGUGGAUGAUGAAGGUCUUAGGAUUGUAAAAUCCUUUCACCGGUGAAGAUAAUGACUGUAGCCGGAGAAGAAGCCCCGGCUAACUACGUGCCAGCCGCCGCCGUAACAC